AAAAUAUCAAGGCAUCUGAAGCUUUGCUUCCUUUUCAUAUUAUAUGUGUAUGUAAGUGUAAGUGUGUGUGUAUUUGUGUAGGUGAGUGUGUAUGUGUGUAGGUGAGUGUGAAUGUGGGUGUAAAUGAGUGUGCAUGUGCAUGUAUGUGUGUGUGUAUGUGUGGAGGUGAGUGUGCAUGUGUGUGUAUGUGUGUGGGUGAGUGUGGAGGUGAGUGUGUAUGUGUGUGUAUGUGUGUGUAUGUGUGGAGGUGAGUGUGCAUGUGUGUGUGUAUGUGUGGAGGUGAGUGUGCAUGUGUGUGUAUGUGUGGAGGUGAGUGUGCAUGUGUGUGCAUGUGUGUAGGUGAGUGUGCAUGAGUGUGUAUGUGUGUAUGUGAAUCUGCAUAUCGGAAUAUGUUUGUUGGUGAUUGAUUGUGUGUGUGUGUGUUUAUGUGUGCAUAUGUCUAGGAUGUGUGUCUAGUGUGUAAACGCGUGUGUGUUUGCUGAUCUGUGUCCCUUUGUGUGUGUGUGUAUGUGAGAUGAAUGGCUUAUCCCAGCAGGGUGUGUGAGCCGCGUGUGGAGUAAAGGCAAUUGGCCUGGUGGCUGUUAGCUCAGAGGGGC
ensembl:lncRNA